GAUGAACGCUAGCGACAGGCUUAACACAUGCAAGUCGAGGGGCAGCGGGGGCGAAGCUUGCUUCGCCUGCCGGCGACCGGCGCACGGGUGAGUAACACGUAUGCGACCUGCCCCCCGCAGGGGGAUAACCGGGAGAAAUCCCGACUAAUACCGCGUAACGCCGCGGGGCUGCAUGGCCCCGCGGCCAAAGGAAGCGAUUCCGGCGGGGGAUGGGCAUGCGGCGCAUUAGCUAGUCGGCGGGGUAACGGCCCACCGAGGCGACGAUGCGUAGGGGUUCUGAGAGGAAGGCCCCCCACACUGGUACUGAGACACGGACCAG
rnacentral:rRNA from 1 species